rnacentral:rRNA from 1 species
GACGUAGGGCGCGAGCGUUGUCCGGAUUUAUUGGGCGUAAAGAGCUCGUAGGCGGCUUGUCACGUCGACCGUGAAAACUCGCAGCUCAACUGCGAGCCUGCGAUCGAUACGGGCAGGCUAGAGUUCGGUAGGGGAGACUGGAAUUUACGGUGUAGCAGUGAAAUGCGUAGAUAUCGUAAGGAAGACCAGUGGCGAAGGCGAGUCUCUGGACAGUUACUGACACUGAGGCACGAAGGCCAGGGGAGCAAACGGG